rnacentral:rRNA from 1 species
UUCGGGGGUACUCGAGUGGCGAACGGGUGAGUAACACGUGAGCAAUCUGCCCUGCACUUCGGGAUAAGCCUGGGAAACUGGGUCUAAUACCGGAUAGGACCUUUAGACGCAUGUCUUUUGGUGGAAAGCUUUUGCGGUGUGGGAUGGGCCCGCGGCCUAUCAGCUUGUUGGUGGGGUGACGGCCUACGAAGGCGACGACGGGUAGCCGGCCUGAGAGGGUGUGCGGCCACACUGGGACUGAGAUACGGCCCAGACUCCUACGGGAGGCAGCAGUGGGGAAUAUUGCACAAUGGGCGCAAGCCUGAUGCAGCGACGCCGCGUGGGGGAUGACGGCCUUCGGGUUGUAAACCUCUUUCACCAUCGACGAAGGUUCGGGUUUUCUCGGAUUGACGGUAGGUGGAGAAGAAGCACCGGCCAACUACGUGCCAGCAGCCGCGGUAAUACGUAGGGUGCGAGCGUUGUCCGGAAUUACUGGGCGUAAAGAGCUCGUAGGUGGUUUGUCGCGUUGUUCGUGAAAUCUCACGGCUUAACUGUGAVCGUGCGGGCGAUACGGGCAGACUAGAGUACUGCAGGGGAGACUGGAAUUCCUGGUGUAGCGGUGGAAUGCGCAGAUAUCAGGAGGAACACCGGUGGCGAAGGCGGGUCUCUGGGCAGUAACUGACGCUGAGGAGCGAAAGCGUGGGGAGCGAACAGGAUUAGAUACCCUGGUAGUCCACGCCGUAAACGGUGGGUACUAGGUGUGGGUUUCCUUCCUUGGGAUCCGUGCCGUAGCUAACGCAUUAAGUACCCCGCCUGGGGAGUACGGCCGCAAGGCUAAAACUCAAAGGAAUUGACGGGGGCCCGCACAAGCGGCGGAGCAUGUGGAUUAAUUCGAUGCAACGCGAAGAACCUUACCUGGGUUUGACAUGCACAGGACGCGUCUAGAGAUAGGCGUUCCCUUGUGGCCUGUGUGCAGGUGGUGCAUGGCUGUCGUCAGCUCGUGUCGUGAGAUGUUGGGUUAAGUCCCGCAACGAGCGCAACCCUUGUCUCAUGUUGCCAGCGGGUAAUGCCGGGGACUCGUGAGAGACUGCCGGGGUCAACUCGGAGGAAGGUGGGGAUGACGUCAAGUCAUCAUGCCCCUUAUGUCCAGGACUUCACACAUGCUACAAUGGCCGGUACAAAGGGCUGCGAUGCCGCAAGGUUAAGCGAAUCCUUUUAAAGCCGGUCUCAGUUCGGAUUGGGAUCUACAACUCGACCCCAUGAAGUCGGAGUCGCUAGUAAUCGCAGAUCAGCAACGCUGCGGUGAAUACG